rnacentral:rRNA from 1 species
GGCGAGCGAGCGGGAAGAGCUCAAAUUUAUAAUCUGGCACCUUCGGUGUCCGAGUUGUAAUCUCUAGAAAUGUUUUCCGCGUUGGACCGCACACAAGUCUGUUGGAAUACAGCGGCAUAGUGGUGAGACCCCCGUAUAUGGUGCGGACGCCCAGCGCUUUGUGAUACAUUUUCGAAGAGUCGAGUUGUUUGGGAAUGCAGCUCAAAUUGGGUGGUAAAUUCCAUCUAAAGCUAAAUAUUGGCGAGAGACCGAUAGCGAACAAGUACCGUGAGGGAAAGAUGAAAAGCACUUUGGAAAGAGAGUUAACAGUACGUGAAAUUGUUGGAAGGGAAACGCUUGAAGUCAGACUUGCUUGCCGAGCAAUCGGUUUGCAGGCCAGCAUCAGUUUUCCGGGAUGGAUAAUGGUAGAGAGAAGGUAGCAGUUUCGGCUGUGUUAUAGCUCUCUGCUGGAUACAUCUUGGGGGACUGAGGAACGCAGUGUGCCUUUGGCGGGGGUUUCGACCUCUUCACACUUAGGAUGCUGGUGGAAUGGCUUUAAACGACCCGUCUUGAAACACGGACC